CAUCUACUCCCUUCGUUCCGAAUUACUUGUCACAAGUAUGGAUGUAUCUAGAUGUAUUUUAGUUCUAGAUACAUCCAUUUCUGCGACGAGUAAUUUGGAACGGAGGGAGUAUUAG
rnacentral:pre_miRNA from 1 species